rnacentral:snoRNA from 1 species
GUUUUGCACAUAUGUCAAAUUCCCAGCAAACUCAAUCUGAUAUUUGUUGGAGCCGUAAUUGUGCAGAAAUAAAUUUAAUUGGGUUGAUUCUUUCAAGAGUCAAUCUGCCAGGUUACCUGCUAGUGUUAUGCUAGAUAUCU